AUUGAACGCUGGCGGCAUGCCUUACACAUGCAAGUCGAACGGUAACAGGUCUUCGGAUGCUGACGAGUGGCGAACGGGUGAGUAAUAUAUCGGAACAUACCCUAGAGUGGGGGGUAACGUAGCGAAAGUUACGCUAAUACCGCAUACGAUCUGAGGAUGAAAGUGGGGGCUCGCAAGACCUCAUGCUCAUGGAGUGGCCGAUAUCUGAUUAGCUAGUUGGUGAGGUAAAGGCUCACCAAGGCGACGAUCAGUAGCUGGUUUGAGAGAACGACCAGCCACACUGGAACUGAGACACGGUCCAGACUCCUACGGGAGGCAGCAGUGGGGAAUUUUGGACAAUGGGGGCGAACCCUGAUCCAGCAAUGCCGCGUGAGUGAAGAAGGCCUCGGUU
rnacentral:rRNA from 1 species